rnacentral:rRNA from 1 species
GACAGAGGAUGCAAACGUUGCUCGGAAUUACUGGGCGUAAAGCGCGUGUAGGCGGUCUGAUAAGUCGGACGUGAAAUCCCGGGGCUCAACCCCGGAAGAGCGCUCGAUACUGUCUGACUUGGGUUCUGAAGAGGAGAGCGGAAUUCCCGGUGUAGAGGUGAAAUUCGUAGAUAUCGGGAGGAACACCAGUGGCGAAGGCGGCUCUCUGGACCGUAACUGACGCUGAGGCGCGAAAGCGUGGGGAGCAAACAGG